rnacentral:rRNA from 1 species
GGAUUGAACGCUGGCGGCAGGCCUAACACAUGCAAGUCGAGCGGCAGCACGGGUACUUGUACCUGGUGGCGAGCGGCGGACGGGUGAGUAAUGCCUAGGAAUCUGCCUGGUAGUGGGGGAUAACGCUCGGAAACGGACGCUAAUACCGCAUACGUCCUGCGGGAGAAAGCAGGGGACCUUCGGGCCUUGCGCUAUCAGAUGAGCCUAGGACGGAUUAGCUAGUUGGUGAGGUAAUGGCUCACCAAGGCGACGAUCCCGUAAGCGUGGUCUGGA